rnacentral:rRNA from 1 species
UACGGAGGGUGCAAGCGUUAUCCGGAUUCACUGGGUUUAAAGGGUGCGUAGGUGGGUUGGUAAGUCAGUGGUGAAAUCCCCGAGCUUAACUUGGGAACUGCCAUUGAUACUAUCAGUCUUGAAUACCGUGGAGGUCAGUGGAAUAUGUCAUGUAGCGGUGAAAUGGCUUAGAUAUGACAUAGAACACCAAUUGCGAAGGCAGCUGGCUACGCGAAUAUUGACAACUGGAUGCACGAAAGCGUGGGGAGCAAACAGG